CCCUUAGAUGUCCUGGGCCGCACGCGUGCUACACUGAUGCAUACAGCGAGCACUUCCCGGCCCCGAAAGGCGGCUGGUAAUCAGCAAUAUGCAUCGUGAUGGGGAUAGAUCUUUGGAAUUCUUGAUCUUGAACGAGGAAUGCCUAGUAGGCGCAGGUCAUUACCCUGCGUCGAUUAAGUCCCUGCCCUUUGUACACACCGCCCGUCGCACCUACCGAUUGAAUGGUCCGGUGAAAUCUCGGGACGGCGGCUUGGUCGCUUGCGUCCGACUGCUGAAACUUGAUUAAACCAUAUCAUUUAGAGGAAGGUGAAGUCGUAACA
rnacentral:rRNA from 1 species